UGAGGAAUAUUGGUCAAUGGACGAGAGUCUGAACCAGCCAAAUCGCGUGAAGGAAGACUGCCCUACGGGUUGUAAACUUCUUUUGUACAGGAAUAAAAGACAUUACGUGUAAUGUAUUGCAUGUACUGUACGAAUAAGCAUCGGCUAACUCCGUGCCAGCAACCGCGGUAAUACGGAGGAUGCGAGCGUUAUCCGGAUUUAUUGGGUUUAAAGGGUGCGCAGGCGGGAUUUUAAGUCAGCGGUGAAAUUUUCAGGCUCAACCUGAACACUGCCGUUGAAACUGGGAUUCUUGAGUAUGGAUGAAGUAGGCGGAAUUCGUUGUGUAGCGGUGACAUGCUUAGAUAUAACGAGGAACUCCGAUUGCGUAGGCAGCUUACUAAGCCAUAACUGACGCUCAAGCACGAAAGCGUGGGGAUCAAACA
rnacentral:rRNA from 1 species